CCUCACACCCGAUGACGACGGGGAUGGCAAGCUACAGGGAUAAUGAAGGAAGGGUCAGAACUAAUUACAACAGGGGAUGGAGAUCACUAUCUCUGAAAAGCGGAUUUUGUAGAUCCUCCUCCUCCUCCCCUCGUUUUUUAUCGAUCCAUGGACGGAAAUGUAAUUGUGCUCUUUGCCGAGCAAAAACAGGUCUCGUUCAUCACAAAACCUACCCCAAGGAAGACAUGGUUGAGCUUUGUUACGUGUGUGUGUGUGGGGUUGUGGUAAUGGCAGCCACAUUUGAGGCAUAAAAAGGGAGUGUACGUAAAAAAUCGAUCAUGAAACUAAUCUUGCCAGGGAUUGAUAGGGAGCCGCCCUUAAUCGAUUGCUCACACGCUCUUGACACGCGAACGCGAUAUGGAUAGAAAGGGAGUCGUACUAGAUUUGUCACUCGUGCUGUUUUAUAUAAAUAGUAGAUCCGAUCCGAUCUACCUCUAAGCUCACCGGAUAAAAAUGAGACCCUUCAGCUUCAGUUUUUUGUCGGGGGACCCUGUGGAGAACACGCGUCUAAAAAUAUGUAUACACUUUUAUUCAGAGUUUCUCGCCAACAAUGGUCAAAAACUGUAAAGGGGAUCACCUAUUUAUUCGGAUUCAACAGAAUGAAUAUUUUUAUGUAGUACAUAUGAAUGUCACAGUUUGUACUUUUUUCUCUCCAUUUUUCACGUAUCCAG